rnacentral:rRNA from 1 species
CUCCUACGGGUGGCUGCAGUAACGAAUAUUCCGCAAUGGGCGAAAGCCUGACGGAGCGACGCCGCGUGGAGGACGAAUUCCCUCGGGAUGUAAACUCCUUUUCGGAUCAAGAAAACAAAGGGCGCUAAUAUCGCCCGGCGCUGAUCUAGUCCGGAAUAAGCCUGGGCUAACUCCGUGCCAGCAGCCGCGGUAAGACGGAGGUUGCGAGCGUUAUUCGGAAUCACUGGGCUUAAAGAGCACGUAGGCGGACUGUCAAGCGUUUUGUGAAAGCCCUCGGCUUAACCGAGGAAUUGCUUGGCGAACUGGCAGUCUUGAGGCAGGUAGGGGCAACGGGAACUCAUGGUGGAGCGGUGGAAUGCGUAGAUAUCAUGAGGAACGCCAGAGGCGAAGGCGCGUUGCUGGGCCUGUCCUGACGCUGAGGUGCGAAAGCGUGGGGAGCGAACGGGAUUAGAUACCCCGGUAGUCCACGCCCUAAACGAUGUCAACUAGGCCGGAGGUACUCUGACGUGUUUCUGGCCGAAAUGAAAACGUUAAGUUGACCGCCUGGGGAGUACGGUCGCAAGGCUAAAACUCAAAGGAAUUGACGGGGGCUCACACAAGCGGUGGAG